GGGCUUGCGCAGCUACACAUGCAGUCGAGCGGAUGAGAGGAGCUUGCUCCUCGAUUCAGCGGCGGACGGGUGAGUAAUGCCUAGGAAUCUGCCUGGUAGUGGGGGACAACGUUUCGAAAGGAACGCUAAUACCGCAUACGUCCUACGGGAGAAAGCAGGGGACCUUCGGGCCUUGCGCUAUCAGAUGAGCCUAGGUCGGAUUAGCUAGUUGGUGAGGUAAUGGCUCACCAAGGCGACGAUCCGUAACUGGUCUGAGAGGAUGAUCAGUCACACUGGAACUGAGACACGGUCCAGACUCCUACGGGAGGCAGCAGUGGGGAAUAUUGGACAAUGGGCGAAAGCCUGAUCCAGCCAUGCCGCGUGUGUGAAGAAGGUCUUCGGAUUGUAAAGCACUUUAAGUUGGGAGGAAGGGUUGUUUCCUAAUACGAAGCAAUUUUGACGUUACCGACAGAAUAAGCACCGGCUAACUCUGUGCCAGCAGCCGCGGUAAUACAGAGGGUGCAAGCGUUAAUCGGAAUUACUGGGCGUAAAGCGCGCGUAGGUGGUUUGUUAAGUUGAAUGUGAAAUCCCCGGGCUCAACCUGGGAACUGCAUCCAAAACUGGCAAGCUAGAGUAGGGUAGAGGGUGGUGGAAUUUCCUGUGUAGCGGUGAAAUGCGUAGAUAUAGGAAGGAACACCAGUGGCGAAGGCGACCACCUGGACUCAUACUGACACUGAGGUGCGAAAGCGUGGGGAGCAACAGAAAACCCCC
rnacentral:rRNA from 1 species